UAUAAAAAAUUUCAUCCAUUUCUACUGUUAAAUACUGUCAUGACUGACGAAAUAAUCGGAUAGUUACAUAUGACGUGUCACAUGUACCUUAGACUGACGUACAUAAACCAGUUUUUAACAGUAAAAAUAGAUAAAAUUUUUAAUA
rfam:Gossypium raimondii Chr11_contig_1472, whole genome shotgun sequence.